rnacentral:rRNA from 1 species
AUACGGAGGGGGCUAGCGUUGUUCGGAAUUACUGGGCGUAAAGCGCGCGUAGGCGGAUUGGUCAGUUGGGGGUGAAAUCCCGGGGCUCAACCCCGGAACUGCCUUCAAAACUGGCCGACUGGAGUCCGGGAGAGGAGAGUGGAAUUCCCAGUGUAGAGGUGAAAUUCGUAGAUAUUGGGAAGAACACCAGUGGCGAAGGCGGCUCUCUGGUCCGGAACUGACGCUGAGGCGCGAAAGCGUGGGGAGCAAACAGGAUUAGAUACCCCAGUAGUCC